CAACAUGGAAUUUAGAGUCGUUAGCAGUGGAUUUUGUCAAAGUUUGUGUGAGUUUUCAUAAAUACAUUCGAAGUAUUUGUAGAAGAAGUUUUCAAUUUAAAAUUCAGCAAUGUUAAAUGAAUAUUAAAUUUAAUAUUAGCCAAGGAUCUCGCCAUCUCGCUGGAACUGACAAACUCUUAGGAUACCCUGCCUAUGUACUACAUAUAUCAUAUUUAUAUAUAACAUGUUGUUAUCAUUUCUCAUUCAUCCUAUCAAAUUUAAUUUUCUUGGCAAUAUGCGUAUAGCGAAUCAUAUAUGUAGUUCAAGUUCUUCAGCUGUUCUUGAUAGACUGAAGAGGCCCGCAGCUUCGACAAUGUGUAGGCAAACAAAUUUCUUGCGCUAUUUUCCCAGCCACUUGUGGCACUUAAGGGCAGACUGGCGUAGCAGCUGCUUUUGAUUUCUCAUGCGUGCGAAGUUUACACAGGCUUUGGCCAAAAUAUUUUUCACUCACACACACACACACACGCACACACACACAAUUGCAGGCUUGUUCGUCCCUUCACAAUUACGUUACGCAUGAAUUUGAUAGCAAAUGAGAACGCGUUGCGCUUCACGCUUGACUCUGCUUGGCACUCACUUAAUUAUUGCAUAAGAAAAUGAAACGAGGCCACCAAGGCGCUGCUUGGAGCGACAUGCGACCAUCCCCCCAACUCCCCAUGCACACACCCACACACCCUCGCACCCUCGCACACACGUGCAGCUGACGGGCGAGCAAUGCAACUUACAAGUGCAGCUGCAACUGGGACAACAAACUUUGCAGUAUGGCUAUGUGCUUGACAUGCAUGCUUACCCGCAACGCAGCGCCGCUGCAAGCCAAGUUGCAAGUUCCCAGUCGCCCAUUGACUGCAGCUCAGGUUGUACGGGGCGUGAAGCGUGGAACGUGGGGCAGGCGAAACGCAUCGAGAGAAGGUUGCGGCGCCUGAAAGUCUUUAACUAUAACAGCCCCCAUUUGUAAGCCCUGUAGCUACAGGGCGAGCGUGAAGCAGGGUUGGCUUUAAAUGAAGUUGCAUGUGCAUAGAGUUCAAUUAGCGAGAGCAGGCCAAGCAUUAGUGAGGCCAUUAUAUACCCUAUAAUACUAUGCACAACAACUCUACUCGCACUAUUACUCAUAAUAGAUCAUACUAUUCCUUAGUA